rnacentral:tRNA from 1 species
CAGAGAGUGGUGUAGCGGGAGCACUCAGAGUUUUGAUCUCUGCGGGCUGGGUUCAAAUCCCGGCUUUCUAA